UACGGAGGGAGCUAGCGUUGUUCGGAAUUACUGGGCGUAAAGCGCACGUAGGCGGCUUUGUAAGUUAGAGGUGAAAGCCCGGGGCUCAACCUGGGAACCGCGCUUGAGACUGGCAUGCUGCGAGUUCGAGAGAGGAUGGUGGAAUUCCCAGUGUAGAGGUGAAAUUCGUAGAUAUUGGGAAGAACACCGAUGGCGAAGGCAGCCAUCUGGACC
rnacentral:rRNA from 1 species